rnacentral:rRNA from 1 species
GAGGACGACGCUGGCGGCGUGGAUUAGGCAUGCAAGUCGAACGGUAUCAUCCUUUCGGGGGUGAGAGAGUGGCGAACUGGUGAGUAACACGUAGGUUAUCUACCCUCAAGACGGGGACAACCCAGGGAAACUUGGGCUAAUACCGGAUGUGAGCAACUUUUAGUUGUUUGAAAGGUGGCGUAAGCUGUCGCUUGGGGAUGAGCCUGCGUCCUAUUAGUUAGUUGGUGAGGUAACGGCUCACCUAGGCAAUGAUAGGUAGGCGGCCUUAACGGGUGGUCGCCCACACUGGGAUUGAGAUACGGCCCAGACUCCUACGGGAGGCAGCAGUCGAGAAUAGUCUACAAUGGUCGGAAGACUGAUAGUGCGACGCCGCGUGAACGAUGAAUCCCUUCGGGGUGUAAAGUUCUUUUAUAUGUGAGCAGUGCUUCUUAUAUUAACAGUAUGGGGAGAGAGAUAUUAGCAUAUGAAUAAGCAACGGCUAACUCCGUG